GAUUCUUCGGAUGAUUCUUAACUGACUGAGCGGCGGACGGGUGAGUAACGCGUGGGUGACCUGCCCCAUACCGGGGGAUAACAGCUGGAAACGGCUGCUAAUACCGCAUAAGCGCACAGAGCUGCAUGGCUCGGUGUGAAAAACUCCGGUGGUAUGAGAUGGACCCGCGUCUGAUUAGCUAGUUGGUGGGGUAACGGCCUACCAAGGCGACGAUCAGUAGCCGGCCUGAGAGGGUGAACGGCCACAUUGGGACUGAGACACGGCCCAAACUCCUACGGGAGGCAGCAGUGGGGAAUAUUGCACAAUGGGGGAGACCCUGAUGCAGCGACGCCGCGUGAGCGAAGAAGUAUUUCGGUAUGUAAAGCUCUAUCAGCAGGGAAGAAAAUGACGGUACCUGACUAAGAAGCACCGGCUAAAUACGUGCCAGCAGCCGCGGUAAUACGUAUGGUGCAAGCGUUAUCCGGAUUUACUGGGUGUAAAGGGAGCGUAGACGGUUGUGUAAGUCUGAUGUGAAAGCCCGGGGCUCAACCCCGGGACUGCAUUGGAAACUAUGUAACUAGAGUGUCGGAGAGGUAAGCGGAAUUCCUAGUGUAGCGGUGAAAUGCGUAGAUAUUAGGAGGAACACCAGUGGCG
rnacentral:rRNA from 1 species